rnacentral:rRNA from 1 species
AUUGAACGCUGGCGGCAUGCCUUACACAUGCAAGUCGAACGGCAGCACGGGAGCAAUCCUGGUGGCGAGUGGCGAACGGGUGAGUAAUAUAUCGGAACGUGCCCAGUCGUGGGGGAUAACGUAGCGAAAGCUACGCUAAUACCGCAUACGAUCUAUGAAUGAAAGCGGGGGAUCGCAAGACCUCGCGCGAUUGGAGCGGCCGAUAUCAGAUUAGGUAGUUGGUGAGGUAAAGGCUCACCAAGCCGACGAUCUGUAGCUGGUCUGAGAGGACGACCAGCCACACUGGGACUGAGACACGGCCCAGACUCCUACGGGAGGCAGCAGUGGGGAAUUUUGGACAAUGGGCGCAAGCCUGAUCCAGCAAUGCCGCGUGCAGGAUGAAGGCCUUCGGGUUGUAAACUGCUUUUGUACGGAGCGAAAAGGCUUCCACUAAUACUGGGGGCUCAUGACGGUACCGUAAGAAUAAGCACCGGCUAACUACGUGCCAGCCGCCGCAGUAAGAC